GGAGAUUCAUCGUCAAGAAUACGUGGUAUUAAUGCUAGCUAUGAUAUGGUAGGUAAUCCUUGCGGUUAUUAUACUGUACAUUCUAGCAUUAUUUUUGCCAUGAGUGUUCGGCGUGCCCUUCUUCCCUAGUAGAACGUCGCGACCCGUUAGAUGUUGAUCUAUGGCCUAAUUGAUUGCCUCUUUCUGCUUGCAGUUGGAGAUCAUUGGUGCUCCUGAUCAACUGUUUGACGGUACUCGCAUGGUAUAAAGUCGCUAAUUAGCGUUAAAUUCAUCACAAGUGCGGAUAGAAUUCCGCAGCUCGGCUCUAAUGCCGUCGUGGAACCUAACCAACUGUUGGUGAUGAUAUUCUUUAACCGACUUGUUAUACCGAUCGGCGACGCUACUGCUUUGGGUACUUUCAGGACCCGUCUUGAAACCACGGACCAAGGAGUCUAACAUGUAUGCAAGUCAUUGGGAUUUAUAAAACAAACCUAAAGGCACAAUGAAAGUAAAGAUUGUCUUAUGACAAUUAAGGGAAGAUAGGUUACAUUACAAUGUGAUCUCGCAUUCCCGGGG
rnacentral:rRNA from 2 species